AUUGAACGCUGGCGGCAGGCCUAACACAUGCAAGUCGAGCGGAGCGGCUGACGGGUGAGUGAUUCCUAGGAAUCUGUCUGGCAGUGGGGGAUAACGUACGACAACGGGCGCUAAUACCGCAUACUAUCAAUUGAGCCUAGGUGGGAUUAGCUAGUUGGUGAGGUAAGGGCCCACCAAGGCGACGAUCCGUAACUGGUCUGAGAGGAUGAUCAGACACACUGGGACUGAGACACGGUCCAGACUCCUACGGGAGGCAGCAGUGGGGAAUAUUGAACAAUGGGCGAAAGCCUGAUACAGCCAUGCCGCGUGUAUGAAGAAGGCCUUAGGGUUGUAAAGCACUUUCAGUCGGGAGGCGUUACCGACAGAAGAAGCACCGGCUAACUCCGUGCCAGCAGCCGCGGUAAUAC
rnacentral:rRNA from 1 species